CGUAGCCGCACGAGGGAUACGGUAAAGCUGACUGUGUGUGUGUGUGUGUGUGUGUGUGUGUGUGUGUCUGUGUGUGUGUCUGUUCCAGCUGUAACUGCUCAACGGUUGCAAUGCGACGAAAGCUAACAGCUUCUAUAGGCUUCUAGCCACGUUCUCUUGGAUUUUGAUUUGUGGAUUAGCAAACUAAAGCUUCUUUCUCGAGUUAUGGCUAGUUUGACUCACAUUGAAGGCUGUUGCAGUCUCUUCAGAAUCUUUCAUAGCAUCAUCUGUCCGCAUAAACUUUCUAUUCAACAUAUGAGUUGGCCUUGCACUAAAGCGCUAGCUUUUUGUUAGCUACAAUACUCAGAAAAUAUCUGUUAAAACAGCUAGCUAGCAGUAGCCAUUUGUGAAAAUUGAUCUCUUUGGACACACCCUUUAAUUAUUCCUGUGGAUGUAAUGCGCAUGCGCGCUCAUUCCCCAUGUGUGAGAAAUAAUAUCCAAGAUCCAGAUCCAGAUCCUCCUGGCAGAAUCAUCUUUGUCUUGAAGGCCUGGUCUUUUCUUCUUAGAUAUUAUAUACACUGAACUACACAGAUCCUGGAAGAAUCAAUUUUCUUCUUUCUUGAGGUCCUGCGAAAGCAAAAACAUGGCGAGAGGCAUUAGCACAGCGCCAGCUUGAACACUAG